rnacentral:rRNA from 1 species
UACAGAGGGUGCAAGCGUUAAUCGGAAUUACUGGGCGUAAAGCGCACGUAGGCGGUUUUUUAAGUCAGAUGUGAAAGCCCCGGGCUCAACCUGGGAAUUGCAUUUGAAACUGGAAAACUAGAGUGUGUGAGAGGGGGGUAGAAUUCCAAGUGUAGCGGUGAAAUGCGUAGAGAUUUGGAGGAAUACCAGUGGCGAAGGCGGCCCCCUGGCACAACACUGACGCUGAGGUGCGAAAGCGUGGGGAGCAAACAGG